GCUUACGGCCAUACCACCCUGAAUACGCCCGAUCUCGUCCGAUCUCGGAAGCUAAGCAGGGUCGGGCCUGGUUAGUACUUGGAUGGGAGACCGCCUGGGAAUACCAGGUGCUGUAAGCU
rnacentral:rRNA from 1 species